ensembl:snoRNA SNORD72 small nucleolar RNA SNORD72
AGCUUAUCUAUGAUGCCUACAAAAACAAAAGUCUGAACAUCUGAGUUCAUAAGUGAUUUCAUUUUUAAACUGAGAUAAGCU